rnacentral:rRNA from 1 species
UGGGGAAUUUUGGACAAUGGGCGCAAGCCUGAUCCAGCCAUGCCGCGUGCAGGAUGAAGGCCUUCGGGUUGCAAACUGCUUUUGUACGGAACGAAAAGACUCCUUCUAAUAAAGGGGGUCCAUGACGGUACCGUAAGAAUAAGCACCGGCUAACUACGUGCCAGCAGCCGCGGUAAUACGUAGGGUGCGAGCGUUAAUCGGAAUUACUGGGCGUAAAGCGUGCGCAGGCGGUUAUAUAAGACAGAUGUGAAAUCCCCGGGCUCAACCUGGGAACUGCAUUAGUGACUGUAUAGCUAGAGUACGGCAGAGGGGGAUGGAAUUCCGCGUGUAGCAGUGAAAUGCGUAGAUAUGCGGAGGAACACCGAUGGCGAAGGCAAUCCCCUGGACCUGUACUGACGCUCAUGCACGAAAGCGUGGGGAGCAAACA